GGACAUGUCCACAAACCAGACAAGGCCCUCAAGUACUGCACAACAGCUGGACUAAGGAGCGUUGGGUAUUGCUGGUGAAGUCUUUGGAGAAGAAGAAGUUGGUCGUUGUGCGGCCUCUUCUCCCGUGCAUACCCACAGCAGUAUGACAUGUGUGUCCAUGUGAUGAAGCAGAAGAAGUGCCACUGACAUCGGGAACUGUUCCUUCGCCCACAUUCUGGAAGAAAGGGACGUCUGGACGUACAUGAAGAACAACAGCUUGAGGGACAUGCAGCAGAUGUUUGACAUGUGGCUCAGGCUGACCAGUCAGAAUAGACUCACUGAUGCAAGCCUUAUGGCCUUGCCUCUGGAGGAGAAAUGGGUUUCCCUGACGACAGAUUCCACUGAGUCAUUGGAACGUAGAAAGGUGGAGAGUGAAAUAGGACAGAAAUUCCUAAUAGAGUUUACCCAGGAUCGGAUCCACUCUUUGUGUCUGUGGACUACACCUCUCCGUUCUUCGUGGCCUUUCUCAGCUGGAGAUCUGUUGGCGGAUUGGAUUGUCUGACUGACCGACUGACUACAACCUUUUUGUAUACGGAAAUCACGUACAGAACGAGCAGUAUGGCUGGUGGCAUUGUCAUGCUGGAGGGUCAUGUCAGGAUGAGCCUGCAGGAAGGGUACCACAUGGGGGAGGAGGAUGUCUUCCCUGUAAUGCACAGCGUUGAGAUUACCUGCAAUGACAACAAGCUCAGUCCAAUGAUGUUGUGACACACCGCCCCAGACCACGACGGACUCACUUUUUUUUUUUGUCCAUUUUUAAAAUAACAUAAAAUUGAUCAGAAAUAUCCUAUGUAGAUAUUGUUAAUAUUGUAAAUGACUAUUGUAGUUGGAAAUUGACUUUUUUUUUUCAAAUGGAAUAUCUACAUAGGCGUACAGAGGCCCAUUAUCAGCAACCAUCACUCCUGUGUUCUAAUGUCACGUUGUUAGCUAAUCCAAGUUUGGCAUUUUAAAAGGUUCAUUGUACAUUAGAAAACUCUUUUGCAAUUAUAUUAGCAGAGCUGAAAACUGUUGUUCUGAUUAAAGAAGCAAUUAAACUGGCCUUCUUUAGACUAGUUGAGUAUCUGCAGCAUCAGCAUUUGUGGGUUUGAUUACAGGCUCAAAGUGGUACAUGCAUACAUACAGUACCAGUCAAACGUUUGGACACACCUACUCAUUUCAGGGUUUUUCUUUUAUUCUUACUAUUUUCUACAUUGUAGAAUAUUAGUGAAGACUUCACAACUAUGAAAUGUUGUGAUAUCCAGGAAUGUGGGUUUGUGUUACUAUAAAUGUUGGCUUUCAAUUAAAAUCAUAAGGUUAAAUUAAAAACAGGACACAUCCAAGGUCACUUGCUCGAUGAAUGGUCAUGUAGUAACCAAAAAAGUGUUAAACAAAACAAUAUAUUUGCCUUGAUGACAGCUUUGCACACUCUUGGCAUUCUCUCAUCUGGAGUGCAUUUCAAUUAACAGGUGUGCAUUGUGAAAAGUCAAUUUGUGGAAUUUCUUUCCUGCGUUUGAGCCAAUCCGUUGUGUUGUGACAAGGUAGCGGUGGUUUACAGAAGAUGGCCCUAUUUGGUAAAAGACCAAGUCCAUAUUAUGGCAAGAACAGCUCAAAUAAGCAAAGAGAAAUGACAGUCCAUUAUUGCUUUAAGAUAUGAAG
ensembl:lncRNA